rnacentral:rRNA from 1 species
AAUAGAUACCCCGGUAGUCCACGCCGUAAACGAUGAGUGCUAAGUGUUAGAGGGUUUCCGCCCUUUAGUGCUGCAGCAAACGCAUUAAGCACUCCGCCUGGGGAGUACGGCCGCAAGGCUGAAACUCAAAGGAAUUGACGGGGGCCCGCACAAGCGGCGGAGCAUGUGGUUUAAUUCGAAGCAACGCGAAGAACCUUACCAGGUCUUGACAUCCUCUGCCACUCCUAGAGAUAGGACGUUCCCCUUCGGGGGACAGAGUGACAGGUGGUGCAUGGUUGUCGUCAGCUCGUGUCGUGAGAUGUUGGGUUAAGUCCCGCAACGAGCGCAACCCUUGAUCUUAGUUGCCAGCAUUCAGUUGGGCACUCUAAGGUGACUGCCGGUGACAAACCGGAGGAAGGUGGGGAUGACGUCAAAUCAUCAUGCCCCUUAUGACCUGGGCUACACACGUGCUACAAUGGAUGGUACAAAGGGUCGCGAAACCGCGAGGUCGAGCCAAUCCCACAAAACCAUUCUCAGUUCGGAUUGCAGGCUG